UACGAAGGGGGCUAGCGUUGUUCGGAAUUACUGGGCGUAAAGCGCACGUAGGCUGACAUUUAAGUGAGGGGUGAAAUCCCGAGGCUCAACCUCGGAACUGCCUUUCAUACUGGGUGUCUCGAGUCCGGAAGAGGUUAGUGGAAUUCCCAGUGUAGAGGUGAAAUUCGUAGAUAUUGGGAAGAACACCAGUGGCGAAGGCGGCUAACUGGUCCGGUACUGACGCUGAGGUGCGAAAGCGUGGGGAGCAAACAGG
rnacentral:rRNA from 1 species